AGAGUUGAUCAUGGCUCAGGAUGAACGCUAGCGACAGGCCUAACACAUGCAAGUCGAGGGGCAGCACAAGGAGCAAUCUGAGGUGGCGACCGGCGCACGGGUGAGUAACACGUAUGCAACCUGCCUGUAAGCGGGGAAUAACCCGUUGAAAGACGGACUAAUACCGCAUAAUACUAAAUUACUGCAUGGUAAUUUAUUUAAACAUUUAUGGCUUACAGAUGGGCAUGCGCAUGAUUAGCUAGUUGGAGAGGUAACGGCUCCCCAAGGCAACGAUCAUUAGGGGUUCUGAGAGGAAGGUCCCCCACACUGGUACUGAGACACGGACCAGACUCCUACGGGAGGCAGCAGUAAGGAAUAUUGGGCAAUGGAGGCAACUCUGACCCAGCCAUGCCCGCGUGCAGGAAGACGGCCCUAUGGGUUGUAAACUGCUUUUAAUAGGGAUUAAAGUCGACUACGUGUAGUUGUUUGCAAGUACCUAUAGAAUAAGCAUCGGCUAACUCCGUGCCAGCCGCCGC
rnacentral:rRNA from 1 species